rnacentral:rRNA from 1 species
UACAGAGGUCUCAAGCGUUGUUCGGAUUCAUUGGGCGUAAAGGGUGCGUAGGCGGCGCGGUAAGUCGGGUGUGAAAUCUCGGGGCUUAACUCCGAAACUGCAUUCGAUACUGCCGUGCUUGAGGACUGGAAAGGAGACUGGAAUUACGGUGUAGCGGUGAAAUGCGUAGAUAUCGUAAGGAAGACCAGUGGCGAAGGCGGGUCUCUGGACAGUUCUGACGCUGAGGCACGAAGGUCAGGGGAGCAAACGGG